rnacentral:misc_RNA from 1 species
GAUGAAGAACGUAGCGAAAUGCGAUACGUAAUGUGAAUUGCAGAAUUCAGUGAAUCAUCGAGUCUUUGAACGCACAUUCCGCCCCCUGGUAUUCCGGGGGGCAUGCCUGUCCGAGCGUCAUUGCUGCCCUCAAGCACGGCUUGUGUGUUGGGCCUCCGUCCUCCUCCCGGGGGACGGGCCCGAAAGGCAGCGGCGGCACCGCGUCCGGUCCUCGAGCGUAUGGGGCUUCGUCACCCGCUCUUGUAGGCCCGGCCGGCGCUUGCCGACACAUCAAUCUUUUUUCCAGGUUGACCUCGGAUCAGGUAGGGAUACCCGCUGAACUUAAGCAUAUCAAUAAGCGGAGGA